rnacentral:rRNA from 1 species
AUUACUGGGCGUAAAGCGCACGCAGGCGGUCUGUCAAGUCGGAUGUGAAAUCCCCGGGCUCAACCUGGGAACUGCAUUCGAAACUGGCAGGCUUGAGUCUUGUAGAGGGGGGUAGAAUUCCAGGUGUAGCGGUGAAAUGCGUAGAGAUCUGGAGGAAUACCGGUGGCGAAGGCGGCCCCCUGGACAAAGACUGACGCUCAGGUGCGAAAGCGUGGGGAGCAAACAGGAUUAGAUACCCUGGUAGUCCACGCCGUAAACGAUGUCUACUUGGAGGUUGUGCCCUUGAGGCGUGGCUUCCGGAGCUAACGCGUUAAGUAGACCGCCUGGGGAGUACGGCCGCAAGGUUAAAACUCAAAUGAAUUGACGGGGGCCCGCACAAGCGGUGGAGCAUGUGGUUUAAUUCGAUGCAACGCGAAGAACCUUACCUGGUCUUGACAUCCACGGAAGUUUUCAGAGAUGAG